rnacentral:rRNA from 1 species
AACUCCCAAACCCUUAUGUGAACCUACCUAUCGUUGCUUCGGCGGACUCGCCCCAGCCGGACGCGGACUGGACCAGCGGCCGCCGGGGACCAUCAAACUCUUGUAUUAUCAGCAUCUUCUGAAUACGCCGCAAGGCAAAACAAAUAAAUUAAAACUUUCAACAACGGAUCUCUUGGCUCUGGCAUCGAUGAAGAACGCAGCGAAAUGCGAUAAGUAAUGUGAAUUGCAGAAUCCAGUGAAUCAUCGAAUCUUUGAACGCACAUUGCGCCCGCCAGCAUUCUGGCGGGCAUGCCUGUUCGAGCGUCAUUUCAACCCUCGACCUCCCUUUGGGGAAGUCGGCGUUGGGGACCGGCAGCACACCGCCGGCCCUGAAAUGGAGUGGCGGCCCGUCCGCGGCGACCUCUGCGUAGUAAACCAACUCGCACCGGAACCCCGACGGGCCACGCCGUAAAACACCCAACUUCUGAACGUUGACCUCGAAUCAGGUAGGACUACCCG